rnacentral:lncRNA from 1 species
CUGCAUGAAUUUUAAGGAUUACAAACUAUGGAACAGCAGAAAGUAACUAAAUCAAAUUUAAUUAAGUAAACACAAUUAAAAUUCAUCAUACUAUAACUAAAAUAAACAUCAAUUUUAAUAAAAUAAACACACAAUUAAAGGACCUCAUACAAUAACUAAAUCACAAACCCAAUUCACAAUGAUCCCUUAUGUAUUGCGUCCUUGGUUCAAAACCACUCACUCAAAUGUCAUUUCUUAGGUCAAAAUUGAAUAAACUGAAAUAAAUAAAACGUCUUAAAUUUCAUCAGGGAAAUAAACAACUAUGCUCAGUCCAGGUCUCGCACAUAAGUAGCUGGUGAAAUGGAAAAAAUGAAUCAAACACCCAAGACCCCUAACAACAGAACCAUGACAUGUCCUCAACAGAGGCUGUUUG